rnacentral:lncRNA from 1 species
CACCCGCCCAGCAGUCAGACCCUAAGCCCCUGCACCCCUGCCAGGCCUGGCAGUCCUGCAGACUUGUGUCCUCUAUCCCCGGAGCCCAGGGUCUUCGUGAAUCCCCACUCACCCCCAGAGCCCCAGGUCUUCUUGGGUCCCCUUUUCCGGAGCCCAGAGUGCUCCUGGAUCUUCCCAUUACCAAAAGCCCAGAGCCCUCGGACAUUUUGAUGGAUUAGAACACAGAGCAGCUCCGUGGGCUGGGUCACCCUCUACCUUUCCAGGAAGAACCAGAUACCCAGGCUCGGUGGGUCACCACAAUGUGGAGGGUCAGCCAGCCUCCUGCACGGCCUCCAGCCUCAGCCCAAGGAGGAUCCUGGCCUCUGGCUACAAAGGGCAGGAGCCUAUGCUCCUAGCGUCCUACGUGGGCUUCACACCAGCAGGGCAGUCUGCUGAACAGAGCCAGUGUCACCCUGCAGCAAGCAGCCAGCUGGGCCUCACUGGACAGACACAGACACACUGCUCAGGCAGCCACUUUCGUACCCAGGUGUGGCUUCUCGAGAGCAUUUGUAUUUUCUUCCUUCAUGCUGCCACUUCUCAGCAUCUUCCAGAUCCUACAGCCUGGGGGAACUGGACCUUUUCUUGACCCACUUACCAAGAUGUAGCCAUCUUCUCCUGUUUUAGUGCCCGCACCAGCUGUUUGUGCUGAAUUGUCUUCCAUGCUGUCUUCUUGUUUACCACUUGCAGGUUAUGGGUCUCUUAAACCUCGUGUUGUAGUUAAAUAUUUUCAAUUAAACAAUGUUCCGAUGGUCCCUGAUUUGCACUGGCUAACUUACAAUGGCUCCACUGAUGCCCCCCAGCAACCAGGGAUUGAACUCAGGACCUUGCACUUGCCAGGUAGGCGCAGUGGUGCCACUGAGCUAAAUCCCCAGCCC